AUAAAAUAAACUGAAAACAAUACAAGUAAAUGGAAAGGUAUCUGUGUUCAUAGUUGAAAGAAUUAAUAGUGUUAAAAUGUCAAUAGUACCAAAAGCAUAGAUUUAAUACAAUGCCUACCAAUAUUCCAAUGACAUUUUUCACAGCAUUAGAAAAAACACUCCUAACAUUUAUAUAGAACCACAAGACUCCAAAAAGUCAAAGAAAUCCUGAGAAAGAAAAAUAUAGCCGGAGGUAUCACACUUCAUCAUUUCAAGCUAUACUAGAAAGGUAUAGCCAACAAAACAGGAUGGUAUUGGCAUAAAAACAGACA